GAUGAACGCUGGCGGCGUGCCUAAUACAUGCAAGUCGAGCGAACGGACGAGAAGCUUGCUUCUCUGAUGUUAGCGGCGGACGGGUGAGUAACACGUGGAUAACCUACCUAUAAGUCUGGGAUAACUUCGGGAAACCGGAGCUAAUACCGGAUGAUAUUUUGCACCGCAUGGUUCAUAAGUGAAAGACGGUCUUGCUGUCACUUAUAGCUGGUUCCGCGCUGCAUUAGCUAGUUGGUAAGGUAACGGCUUAUCAAGGCAACGAUGCAUAGCCGACCUGAGAGGGUGAUAGGCCGCACGGGAACUGAGACACGGUCCAUACUCCUACGGGAGGCAGCAGUAGGGAAUCUUCCGCAGUGGGCGAAAGCCUGACGGAGCAACGCCGCGUGAGUGAUGAAGGUCUUCGGAUCGUAAAACUCUGUUAUUAGUGAAGAACAGAUGUGUAAGUAACUGUGCACAGCUUGACGGUACCUAAUCAGAAAGCCACGGCUAACUACGUG
rnacentral:rRNA from 1 species